rnacentral:rRNA from 1 species
AACGCGAAGAACCUUACCCAGGCUCGAACGGUACGCGACGGCGGCAGAGAUGUCGUUUUCCUUCGGGACGCGUAUCGAGGUGCUGCAUGGUUGUCGUCAGCUCGUGCCGUGAGGUGUCGGCUUAAGUGCCACAACGAGCGCAACCCUUGUUGACAGUUGCCAUCGGGUAAAGCCGGGGACUCUGUCGAGACUGCCACCGUAAGGUGUGAGGAAGGGGGGGAUGACGUCAAAUCAGCACGGCCCUUAUGUCUGGGGCGACACACGUGUUACAAUGGUGAGUACAGAGGGUCGCUACCUGGCGACAGGAUGCCAAUCUCGAAAACUCAUCUCAGUUCGGAUCGGAGUCUGCAACUCGACUCCGUGAAGUUGGAUUCGCUAGUAAUCGCGCAUCAGCCAUGGCGCGGUGAAUACGUUCCCGGGUCUUGUACACACGC